rnacentral:tRNA from 1 species
GGGUCGGUACCCGAGUGGCCAAAGGGAGCGGCCUGUAAAGUCGCUGGCACAGCCUACGUUGGUUCGAAUCCAACCCGGCCCACCA